AUUUUUUUUUUUUUCUAUUCACACCUCAGUUUUUCCUUCCUUCCUUCAGUAUAACAUACACUCCCAGGUCUUUCUCUGCCUCUGUGGUGGAUAGUGGAGUGUUUCCCAUGUGGUGUUGGUGUGCUGGAUAUCCCUUCACUGGUAACCUGGUAACAUACACUCCCAGGUCUUUCUCUGCCUCUGUGGUGGAUAGUGGAGUGUUUCCCAUGUGGUAUUGGUGUGCUGGAUAUCCCUUCACUGGUAGCCUGGUAACAUACACUCCCAGGUCUUUCUCUGCCUCUGUGGUGGAUAGUGGAGUGUUUCCCAUGUGGUAUUGAUGUGCUGGAUAUCCCUUCACUGGUAGCCUGGUAACAUACACUCCCAGGUCUUUCUCUGCCUCUGUGGUGGAUAGUGGAGUGUUUCCCAUGUGGUAUUGGUGUGCUGGAUAUCCCUUCACUGGUAGCCUGGUAACAUACACUCCCAGGUCUUUCUCUGCCUCUGUGGUGGAUAGUGGAGUGUUUCCCAUGUGGUAUUGAUGUGCUGGAUAUCCCUUCACUGGUAGCCUGGUAACAUACACUCCCAGGUCUUUCUCUGCCUCUGUGGUGGAUAGUGGAGUGUUUCCCAUGUGGUAUUGGUGUGCUGGAUAUCCCUUCACUGGUAGCCUGGUAACACACUCCCAGGUCUUUCUCUGCCUCUGUGGUGGAUAGUGGAGUGUUUCCCAUGUGGUAUUGGUGUGCUGGAUAUCCCUUCACUGGUAGCCUGGUAACAUACACUCCCAGGUCUUUCUCUGCCUCUGUGGUGGAUAGUGGAGUGUUUCCCAUGUGGUAUUGGUGUGCUGGAUAUCCCUUCACUGGUAGCCUGGUAACAUACACUCCCAGGUCUUUCUCUGCCUCUGUGGUGGAUAGUGGAGUGUUUCCCAUGUGGUAUUGGUGUGCUGGAUAUCCCUUCACUGGUAGCCUGGUAACAUACACUCCCAGGUCUUUCUUUGCCUCUGUGGUGGAUAGUGGAGUGUUUCCCUUGUGGUAUUGGUGUGCUGGAUAUCCCCUCCCAAGGUGCAGGACUUUACAUUUUUCAUCAUUGAAUUGUAGCAGCCACUUUUUGCUUCAUUCCUGUAGCUUGGUGAAGUCUUCUGGUAGGAAAUGCACAGUCAAGGGGUUAAGCGUCUGC